CACGAACCGUACGAACGUUAUUCGGAAUUACUGGGCUUAAAGGGUUUGUAGGCGGCCUUGUAAGUCAGGUGUGAAAUCCCUCGGCUCAACCGAGGAAUGGCGCUUGAUACUGCAAGGCUUGAGGGAGACAGGGGUAAGCGGAACUGAUGGUGGAGCGGUGAAAUGCGUUGAUAUCAUCAGGAACACCGGUGGCGAAGCGGCUUACUGGGUCUCUUCUGACGCUGAGGAACGAAAGCUAGGUAGCGAACGGG
rnacentral:rRNA from 1 species